UCUCGUUUUUGGAUACAGAAAUGGGAGUCGCAGAGACAGGAAAAAUAGUGUCUAGUCUAGUCUAGUGAAGGGCUGAAAAAAUGAGUUGGAAUAGUGCAAGUGUUUAGUGUGAUAUUUAGAAACGACCGACAAACCGCAUAGAAAUGUUGCAGUGGGGGAAGACGAAAAUCCCAAUUUGUGACUGAAGUUUAUAUAAUAUUCAUGCGGAGGGGUAAAUAGUUAUCGUCAUAACUUUGAUAGCUAAUCCCUUUUAAACCCUUCAAGCCUCGAUAGAUCACGACGUCCUUGGGGAGACUCAGGGGCUUGUUCUUCAAGGAAUAGGGGAGAUAUUUGGUUCAUGCUCUUCUCUCCUGAUCCAUGGUACUGCUUUAUGGUCUCCAUGGCCCUCGUUAUGGCUUCCCUGCUCCAGGAUCCACGCGAAGUGCUGCAUAAUUCCUUUUCCGACAAAGCUGUUUUUUCCCUCAAGGAUAAAUAUAUUAUUUAAGCUUUAGUCGCAAAUUGGGAUUUUCGUCUCCCCCGGCUACAGCAUAUUUCUCUCAACAAACCUCGAGCCCAUCUCCACCUACUAGACGACCACUGGCUGUUACUCAGAGCACCAUCAAGGUCACCAUAAAGUUGGUGAUCAGGAAGCCAAAGGAGAACCUCUCGCCAUUUCUUUACAAUCUCGUCAACAAAGUCAUGGAGGGCGCAUAAAUUUGAUCCCGCGAAGGCCAAGCUAGAGGCGACACAUGACAAAAUCGUAUUGUAUUGAAAAGUUGUGAAAAAAAAUUGAUUGCUGUGGUGUGGUGGUCAGGAGUGCCAGGGAGCACCCCACAUCCACAUCAGUAACGAACAGUGAAAGUGUAGAAGAGAGCCAUGGAACGUUCGAAGAGAAAAACAGUCUGAGAAGACAAAUCUCACUCAGGAUUCCCGAGAGGAUACACUGAGGACUUCCUCCCUUCGACGUUGGCGAAUUAUUAGGCUGGCCACAUGGAGAAGGAACAGCAGAAACUUGUCGGCAAAGCAGAUAUGCAGCACUUCGCGUGGAUCCGAGAGCAGGGAAGCCAUGAAGAGGGCCAUAGGCACCAUCAGACAGCACCAUGGAUCAGAAGAGAAGAGUAGGAUCAAAUGUCUGCCAUAUCCCUUGAAGAACAAGCCCCGAAGCUCCUAAUUUUCGUGAGGUGUCGAGGCUCCAAGCAGCUUUCUUCUCCAUCGGCUACAACAUCUUCACCAAGAAGCCGUUGGUAGGAAUAGCACCUCAGCAUCUCAGCAUUUUUCAGAAAACGUGGUGAGUCGCAAUACACAUUUUAAUAAUUAACAACAUUGAAUUAACUGCAUGUCAGUAUAAUUUUUUAACGAUUUGCAAAUAGAUAAUAAUAUAUUAUAUUUGCUAUUCUAAGCGCAAAGCAAUAAAAUAAGUUUUGUAAGAGAAGAGAAUCCGUGAAAAAUCCAUUACAUGUUUUCUGUUUUAUAAGAAAACUUUUCUUUAUAAUUUUAAACGUAAAACUUGAGCGAAAACCGCUUAAUCGCGAUAUAAUUCCCUAAUGUUUUAUAGAUAACUAUUUAAAUUUUUUAUUUAGUGUUCUAAGUGCCAAAGGAAGAAUAUAAUUUUGAAGGUAUAAUACAAAUAUGAUUAAAAUUUAGAUUUUGUAUGUAAAAACAAUGCAAAAAAAUGUACCGCUCACAGGAUUUGAACAGUCGGAUACUAAAAAUAAUGAUAUGUUAAAGCGGGUGUUAAAGGAAAGCAAUUGUUCAGCUCGGAAAACAAUUGCAGGGUUUUGAAAUAGCCGCGUAAAUGUUUUAACGUUGGAAAACAAUUGUAAAGUUUGGAUUUUCCCGCCUAAGCAAAGUGAUUUAAAUGUGUUGAAUCCGGUUUGUGUCUUGGUUGAAAAAUUUGCCGCUUUUCACAUUUGAAGUGUUUGAAAUGUUCAAAUGUCCUUACACUUAAGAACUAUACUUCAGUCGAGCUAAAUUUAGAUGGUUAUAAAUUCAAGUUAAAUCUCUUAAAUAAGCGUUUAUAUACUAGGUUACUCAAUGAAUAUGCAUCUCAAACAUAUUAAAUAAAUCUGAUAGUAAAAUUUGGUGUGUCGCGUUGUUGUUAACAUUCAAGAAAAACUGCAUUUCAAUAAGUAAUAUGCAAAUUCUGUCCAAAAGAAAAAUAGAAUAAUAAAAAAUAGUUGU